UACGGGGGGGGCAAGCGUUGUUCGGAAUUACUGGGCGUAAAGAGCUCGUAGGUGGUUUGUCGCGUUGUUCGUGAAAACUCACAGCUUAACUGUGGGCGUGCGGGCGAUACGGGCAGACUGGAGUACUGCAGGGGAGACUGGAAUUCCUGGUGUAGCGGUGGAAUGCGCAGAUAUCAGGAGGAACACCGGUGGCGAAGGCGGGUCUCUGGGCAGUAACUGACGCUGAGGAGCGAAAGCGUGGGGAGCGAACAGG
rnacentral:rRNA from 1 species